CUUCCCAAUUUUUGCUUCUUGUUCCGUUUUCUUCGUUUUUAAUUUCUGUUGAUUGUUUUUUUUCUUGUGAAGCGACGAAAGUAGAUUCAGACCAUGGUCGCUAUGCUAGGGUUUGAAGAACUGACGAAGAAGAUUCAGAACCAACACUGAGAUGCCUUACAAUAACAACAUCAAACAAACUGAUUGAACCCUAGAUGCCGACGAGCUAUAGCUCUCUGGUGCUCAUCCUGCUCCUCCUGAGGUUUAUAGUGCAGCCGGGAAAGUGGAUUUGGUUGGAUCUUCCAAUCAUAACACGCUUUUGGAUCCUCUGAUUGGAGAGAACCCCUUCAAUGUUAAAGUUGCUCAAGUGGGUGAAACAUGAACUCUCAGCCAUUUAUAUUGGUGGACAGCUUCUUCUCCCACGGCCCCGAUGCAUUUGGUCUCCAUAACCCUUUCAAAUCUCCAAUGGUACCUCUUGUAUGGAGAUAUAUCUCGACCAAGACAGCUCAUAUGCUCGCCUUACCUCCAAGGUAACGAUUGUUAAACCAUUUAGUUUACCGCUGGAGAUUCCAUUGGGUGUCUGCUACUCUGUUUUUGCUUCCUCAAUCCUCACCCACCAAUUCAACUCGUCUCUCUCUCUCUCUCUUCUCCUCCCCCCACGCGACGAAGUAGAUUCAGAACCAAUACUAAGAUGAACUACUUCGCCGUACAAUUGAACCAUCCAAUUACCUUUUGCUACCCUAGAUGCCGACGAGCCAGCUCUCUGGUGCUCAUCCUGCUCCUCCUGAAGCACUACAGAGCUCUCUGGUGUGUGUGUGUCUUUACUUGUCAGACUUUGAAUUUUGU